rnacentral:rRNA from 1 species
UACGAAGGGGGCUAGCGUUGCUCGGAAUGACUGGGCGUAAAGGGCGCGUAGGCGGCUUGUAUAGUCGGAUGUGAAAUUCCUGGGCUUAACCUGGGGGCUGCAUACGAGACGUAUGGGGCUUGAGUGCGGAAGAGGGUCGUGGAAUUCCCAGUGUAGAGGUGAAAUUCGUAGAUAUUGGGAAGAACACCGGUGGCGAAGGCGGCGACCUGGUCCGUGACUGACGCUGAGGCGCGAAAGCGUGGGGAGCAAACAGGAUUAGAAACCCCCUGGU